rnacentral:lncRNA from 10 species
GAACAGUUUCAUAACUCCCACCCUUUCCCUUGUGCCACAGCUGAAAUGUUUGGCACGGGCAACCCUGUCUGCCCAGGGCUCUCUCUCCUGUCUAAUGGUUUCAGUUCCUUGAAAAGCUCCUCUUUUAUGAUACCCAGGCUCUGUGACAUCCUUGUAAAAGUACACAGUAUGUAUUGUGGCCACACUCCAGUUUGCGCCCUGAGCCACCAUGCCCAGAAGUUGUCACAAGGAAGCACCUGAUCCCCGUAGUCUCCAUCCCAGGGUUUUAUGAGGAGGGUAUUUCACAACCAGGAUGCUGAGCUCCUCAACCUGAAAAUGAGUUCAUGGUUUUUUUGUUUUUUGUUUUUCUUUUUUGAGAUGGAAUCUGGCUCUGUUGCCCAGGCUGGAGUGCAGUGGUGCAAUCUCUGCUCACCGCAACCUCCACCUCCUGGGUUUGAGCAAUUCUCAGAAUUCUCCAUGUUAGGCAGGAUGGUCUCGAUCUCCUGACCUUGUGAUCCGCCUGCCUCAGCCUCCCAAAGUGCUGGGAUUACAGGCGCCCAGCCAUAUUAACUGAUUUUAAAAUCCUGAUGGGGUAGACGCCAUUUUGCAGAGGAAGAAACAGAGGCACCGAAAGACUAACUAGCUGGGGAUUUAACCCAGGCAGUCUGGCUUCAUGUCUAUACUCUUGAUGACUAUUCGGACUUUGUUAUUGUUACACAGAGAUAUUUACAGGCAAACUGAUACCUACAUGGACAUGUAUCAACACCUCACACGUGUACAUGCAUGCAGGCUCUCACAGAUGUGUGUGCACACUCACAUAUGGGCCUGCACACUCACACAGAGGUACACAUAAAUAUAUCCCAGCACACGCCAUACUCACCUGCACACACACACAGAGACACGCACAAGCCUGAACCACAUACACUCCCUUCCCCCAUGUUGGGCAUGGUCUGCCGCCGUGCCCAACAUUGCCACCUCGCUCCAGGACCUUAUCCAAAUCCUCGUGCGUCACUGACGGCUUGUCUCUGACACCUUUCAUCCAAGGGUCCCUGAGCUCCUGACUAUUAUUAUCUGGCGACAAUGAUCCUUGAACUCCCGCCUGACAGAUGCAAGACCUGGCAUGCACAGGCGAUGGUCAGAGGUCAGGACGCUGAAAGCAGACUGUCUGAGGCAGAGCAGGGCCAAGAAUUUGGGCCACAAGGCAGCUGGGGGUCUCAGACAUUUUGGGGCCUGCCCCUGCCCUCUGAUAUCUAGGGAAGAGAACAUGGGACUGACAGUUACGGAAGCUGAGUUCCGGUCCCAGUUCUGGCGCCAAUGUGCUCUGUGAUGUUGAAGUCACUUAGCCUCUCUGGAUCAUUGCUCAUCCAUAUGUAAACCAAAAGGGUCUAGACCCGCCAAUGCCUUUCUUUCCACUCAACACCAGACAGCCAGGGAGAGAGCUCAUAUUUACUUUAUUAAUAUUUUUUUGAGACACGGUAUUGCUCUGUUGCCCAGGCUGGAGUGCAGUGGUGUGAUCUUGGCUCACUGGAGCCUCAAUCUCCUGGGCCCAAGUGAUCCUCCUACCUCAGCCUCCCGCGUAGCUGGGACUACAGGCACACACCACCACGCCCAGCUAAUUUUGUUUAUUUUUUGUAGAGAAGGGGGGUCUCACUAUGUGGCUCAGGCUGGUCUCGAACUCCUGGACUCAAGCGAUUCCCCGAUCCUGCCUCCCAAAGUGCUGGGAUUAUAGGCCUGAGCCACCCCACCCCACCCCAUAUUUACUUUAAACAGCAGAGCAGAAUCGGGCUAAUUUGUCUCCCCGCAAGAUCAUUCCGGCACCACACAGCUGCCUGCCUCCUGUGGGCCCAGGCCUUGCAGCUAGGAGCCCCCCAGGCAGCCACAGAAGGCCAUUCUCCUGGAUUUGCCUGAUCCGGAAAAUGAACAGAUGAAAGCCCCUCAGCCUGUGGAAAUGGACGGAGGGCGUUUGCUCUAGUAUUUCAGAAAGCCCCGCUGGCCUGUGUUUCCAGCUUCAACCCUGCUGUCAGUGGGCCUGGUUCAUCAGACAGAUCUUCAGUCCAAGUCAGAGAGAAGGGAGGCCAUUUUCCUGCUGUUCUCUGAACUGAGGCCCAAUUGGACACUCACAUGGAACAUGGAGCACAUUGUCAGAUCCAUGAACACCCCUCUGGCUCUACUAGAAUAAAAGAACCAGAGCGUGGGUGGCAGCCCGUCUUGCGUGUGGCAAGGUCAUGGGGCAGUAUAGCAUAGUGGUCAAGAGCAAGGAUUCUGGGCCGGGCUCAUUGGCUUGUAAUCCCAGCACUUUGGGAGGCCAAGGCGGGCAGAUCACCUGAGGUCAGGAGUUCGAGACCAGCCUGGCCAACAUGGCGAAACCUAGUCUCUACUAAAAAUACAAAAAUUAGCCAGGCAUGGUGGCAUGCACCUGUAAUCCCAGCAAGACUCCAUCUCAAAAAAAAAAAAAAGGAGCAAGGAUUCUGGAUCCAAGCUGCCUGAAUUUGAAUUCCAGCUCCUUUCUUACUUGCUGUGUGACUUGGCGUAAGUUACUUAACCUCUCUGUUAAAUGUGGUGAUCAUAAUCAUAUCUACCUCAUAAGAUUGUUGUCAGGCUUCAGUGAGUGAAACACUUAAACAGAGCCCAGCAAUCAGUAUGUGCUGAAUAAAUGGUUGCUGUCUUUC